AUUGAACGCUGGCGGCAUGCCUUACACAUGCAAGUCGAACGGUAACAGGUUAAGCUGACGAGUGGCGAACGGGUGAGUAAUGUAUCGGAACGUGCCCAGUCGUGGGGGAUAACUACUCGAACGAGUGGCUAAUACCGCAUACGACCUGAGGGUGAAAGCGGGGGACCGUAAGGCCUCGCGCGAUUGGAGCGGCCGAUAUCAGAUUAGCUAGUUGGUGGGGUACAAGCCCACCAAGGCGACGAUCUGUAGCUGGUCUGAGAGGUCGACCAGCCACACUGGGACUGAGACACGGCCCAGACUCCUACGGGAGGCAGCAGUGGGGAAUUUUGGACAAUGGACGCAAGUCUGAUCCAGCCAUGCCGCGUGCGGGAAGAAGGCCUUCGGGUUGUAAACCGCUUUUGUCAGGGAAGAAACGAGUUUCUCUAAUACAGAGACUUAAUGACGGUACCUGAAGAAUAAGCACCGGCUAACUACGUGCCAGCCGCCGCAGUAAAAC
rnacentral:rRNA from 1 species